AGUGGAAUAACUGGAUCAAAUGGUGAUUCCAUUCAAGUUUUCUGAGAAAUCUCCAUAAUGCUUUCCAGAGUGGUUGUACCAAUUUUCACUCCAACCAGCAAU
rnacentral:pre_miRNA from 1 species